rnacentral:lncRNA from 1 species
CCAAAAAUAAAAAUAAAAAGAGGAUAUUAAGAAAAUAAAAAAAAAAAAACUUCACAUAAACAGAAAAACGAAAACGAAACAGCUUCCCCCCUCCCCCCUCCUCUCUCUCUCCCUUUUCUUUUUUGAUUGAUUCUCUGGGAUCAUUCCCAUUCCAGCAGCAGCACCGGCACAAGAGGAGAGGAAAAGAACAGGGCCAAAAUAAGGCAAAGAAAAGGAAAUCAAUCCCAUCAUUACUCCCCCCACAAAUCCCAAUUCGAAUUUUUUUUUUUUUAUCGUUUGUUUUUUUAAUAUUUUUGAUUGGCAUCUGUGAUUGAGGAGGGGGGAGGUAGAGCUAGAAGAAGAGAAACGCCAUCAAACAACAAGUUUUGUUGUAGAUUUGGGAGGUGUGGAUCUUGGGAGAUUUUUUUUGUUUUAAUAAUAAGCUCGUUCGCCGCCCGCCGAUGGUGGGAAGGGCAUUGCCGGGAUUGGAAGGAAACCAGGUGAGAUUUCGGUUUGGUUAUAAUAGUGCAAAGAAGGGGGUAGAGUGCGGGGUUGCAUAGCUGGA